rnacentral:rRNA from 1 species
UACGGGGGGGGCAAGCGUUGUUCGGAAUUACUGGGCGUAAAGGGCUCGUAGGUGGCCAACUAAGUCAGACGUGAAAUCCCUCGGCUUAACCGGGGAACUGCGUCUGAUACUGGAUGGCUUGAGUUUGGGAGAGGGAUGCGGAAUUCCUGGUGUAGCGGUGAAAUUCGUAGAUAUCUGGAGGAACACCGGUGGCGAAGGCGGCAUCCUGGACCAACACUGACACUGAGGAGCGAAAGCCAGGGGAGCAAACGGG